AUGAACCCUGAUAGGAAAACAACACUUGAAUUGUCAGUUCGCGCUUAUGCAGAGACAAAAUCUGGGCCAGUCAUCAAUCCAACAAUUGGCACAUCUUUUGACUCAUUGGACGAAGCCUAUGAGUUCUACAACCUCUAUUCAUGGGAAUAUGGUUUCGGCGUGAGGCUUGCGAAAAGCAGACUGAAUAUUAAUCGGAAGAGAUGUAUGCAAGAAAUACUGAGUGCUUGUGCGGGCAAACCAAUGAGGGAAAACAGUCGAUCAUCAAGGUGCGGGUGUGAAGCCAUGAUUAGAUUGCUCCGUUCAAAUGACAACGGUUGGUACAUAUUAGAGUUAAAAUCUGGCCAUAACCACCCGCUGUCUGUGACAUGUGGAGAAAAAAUGCAUUGGAAGUCACACAGGCACAUCGAUAGAUACACAAAGGAUCUGGUGAAACAACUCCGCGAUAACAAUGUUGGUCUUGGGAAGGUUUUCAGCAUUGUGGGGAGUUUUUUUGGCUCAGUUGAAAAUGUGCCAUUUACAAAACGUUCAUUGAAGACACUGUGCAGGAAGCUGAACAAGGACCAGUCAGACUCUGACGCUAUGAAAACAAUGGAAAUUCUGGCUGAUAUGCAAGCAAAUGAUCCUGACUUCAAUUACACCGUGCAAGUAGAUGAAGACAGCAGGAUAAAAAAACUCAUGUGGGUUACGAGUAGGGGGUGUGAUCAUUAUCGGUAUUUCGGUGAUGCAAUUACAUUUGACACAACAUACAAGACCAACCUAUAUGACAUGCCAUUUGGUCUUUUUGUUGGUGUCAACAAUCACUUUCAGAGUAUAAUCUUUGGAGGGGUCAUGAUGAGAGAUGAGAAAGAAGAAUCUUUCAAGUAG
rnacentral:rRNA from 1 species